UCUAUCGUGCUGAUUUGCAGUGUGCUGGACAAAUUGGUACGAUCGUGACGAUCCUUCCGGUACCGGUGACUGGGAGGUGCUGUCGGACCUGCGGAGUGAGAACCCUGGUGAGAUCUGUGCCAACCCGAUUGCCAUUGAGAGCAAGACUGUGGACACAGGGACUGCUGCCGCCCUGACUGGCCAAAACUUCCUCCACUUCUCUCCGACAAUUGGGUUCGUAUGCAAGAACGACCCCAAACAAUACUGCCGGGACUACCAAGUCCGGUUUCAGUGUCCUUGUGAGCCUGUGUGCUGGACAAAUUGGUACGAUCGUGACAAUCCUUCCGGUACCGGUGACUGGGAGGUGCUGUCGGACCUGCAGAGUGAGAACCCUGGUGAGAUCUGUGCCAACCCGAUUGCCAUUGAGAGCAAGACUGUGGACACAGGGACUGCUGCCGCCCUGACUGGCCAAAACUUCCUCCACUUCUCUCCGACAAUUGGGUUCGUAUGCAAGAACGACCCCAAACAAUACUGCCGGGACUACCAAGUCCGGUUUCAGUGUCCUUGUGGGCCUGGUGGGUCUGGUGGGCCUCGUGUGCCUGUCUUGCAUAUCCAAUAAUAUCUCAAGGGGUGUAAGACUGUUCAAUGUGUACUUUCCUCAGUAGUCUAGCAGUGAUAACUGAUGUAUUUCUGUAACAGCAUCGACAUCUAACAUCUGUUGUUGUGUUGCCCCAUAUUGUGCUGACUUGCUGGUUUAAAAGUCAACAAGUAUGCAGAGAAAUAAUAAAACUAGCACUUCAAAUCCUA